GAUGAAUAGAGCCUGAACUCCAAAUAAAUAACAGUGGCUGACACAAGAGGUCUGCUUCAGUCUCCCCUUCUGACCUCAGCAGGAGCCCCCGCUGGCUCCACAGCAGACCAUUUCGUUUUUAUGCCGUGCCAAGCUAUGAGGUAUGUUGCAGGGCUCUGCUUGGCUGACUUUGGCAGGGUCCUCCUAAUGUAAGGCGGUGACCCAUGUUGCGCAGCCAAGCAGCAAGGCCCGAGUGUGUCUGGCCAGGCUGAAAAGUGCCCUUCAGGCCCAGUGCUGCCUCACUGCCGCUACUCCCCUCCACCACCGAGAGCCAUUCAGAGGGAAGAGAGGAGGAGGAGGAGGUGGAGGAGGAGGAAAAAAAGCUCCAGUGUGGAACUUAAGUAUGAAAGCAACCAUCAGCCUGGAUGUAUACAUGUGUGACACGCGUAAUAAGGAACGUAUGUAAAUGCUUAAGAGUACCACAGUGUUUUAUUGUGACCAGAGUUCAACGAAAUGUUGAUGACUGCUACCUGCGACUUCAUUUUCCCUGCUACGAAUUCAUUUUGACAUAAAGAUUUCACUUUGUAAACGAUGCCCAUCCGAACCAAGUCAUUGGUUAGAAAUACAGUGAAAUGACACAAACACAGUUCAUAUUGAAAAGAUUUAAAGCCCCUGAAAACUCAACAUUAAAGGUGCUUUGUGGAGUUUAAA